UACGUAGGGUGCGAGCGUUAAUCGGAAUUACUGGGCGUAAAGCGUGCGCAGGCGGUUUGGUAAGACAGAUGUGAAAUCCCCGGGCUUAACCUGGGAACUGCAUUUUUAACUGCCGAGCUAGAGUAUGUCAGAGGGGGGUAGAAUUCCACGUGUAGCAGUGAAAUGCGUAGAGAUGUGGAGGAAUACCGAUGGCGAAGGCAGCCCCCUGGGAUAAUACUGACGCUCAGACACGAAAGCGUGGGGAGCAAACAGG
rnacentral:rRNA from 1 species